rnacentral:rRNA from 1 species
GCGUGCAGGAAGAAGGCCUUCGGGUUGUAAACUGCUUUUGUACGGAACGAAACGGUCCUGGCUAAUACCCGGGGCUAAUGACGGUACCGUAAGAAUAAGCACCGGCUAACUACGUGCCAGCAGCCGCGGUAAUACGUAGGGUGCAAGCGUUAAUCGGAAUUACUGGGCGUAAAGCGUGCGCAGGCGGUGCUGUAAGACAGGCGUGAAAUCCCCGGGCUCAACCUGGGAAUUGCGCUUGUGACUGCAGUGCUGGAGUGCGGCAGAGGGGGAUGGAAUUCCGCGUGUAGCAGUGAAAUGCGU